AUUGAACGCUGGCGGCAGGCCUAACACAUGCAAGUCGAACGGUAACAGGAAGCAGCUUGCUGCUUCGCUGACGAGUGGCGGACGGGUGAGUAAUGUCUGGGAAGCUGCCUGAUGGAGGGGGAUAACUACUGGAAACGGUAGCUAAUACCGCAUAAUGUCGCAAGACCAAAGAGGGGGACCUUCGGGCCUCUUGCCAUCGGAUGUGCCCAGAUGGGAUUAGCUUGUUGGUGGGGUAACGGCUCACCAAGGCGACGAUCCCUAGCUGGUCUGAGGGGAUGACCAGCCACACUGGAACGGAGACACGGUCCAGACUCCUACGGGAGGCAGCAGUGGGGAAUAUUGCACAAUGGGCGCAAGCCUGAUGCAGCCAUGCCGCGUGUAUGAAGAAGGCCUUCGGGUUGUAAAGUACUUUCAGCGGGGAGGAAGGGAGUAAAGUUAAUACCUUUGCUCAUUGACGUUACCCGCAGAAGAAGCACCGGCUAACUCCGUG
rnacentral:rRNA from 1 species